GUGGGGAAUUUUGGACAAUGGGCGCAAGCCUGAUCCAGCAAUGCCGCGUGCAGGAAGAAGGCCUUCGGGUUGUAAACUGCUUUUGUACGGAACGAAAAAGCUCUCUCUAAUACAGGGGGUGAAUGACGGUACCGUAAGAAUAAGCACCGGCUAACUACGUGCCAGCAGCCGCGGUAAUACGUAGGGUGCAAGCGUUAAUCGGAAUUACUGGGCGUAAAGCGUGCGCAGGCGGUUAUGUAAGACAGAGGUGAAAUCCCCGGGCUCAACCUGGGAACUGCCUUUGUGACUGCAUAGCUGGAGUGCGGCAGAGGGGGAUGGAAUUCCGCGUGUAGCAGUGAAAUGCGUAGAUAUGCGGAGGAACACCGAUGGCGAAGGCAAUCCCCUGGGCCUGCACUGACGCUCAUGCACGAAAGCGUGGGGAGCAAACAGGAUUAGAUACCCUGGUAGUCC
rnacentral:rRNA from 1 species